rnacentral:tRNA from 1 species
GCACGCGGGGGCCCUCGGAGGCACAUGGCCCGCGGUCUUCAACGCCGCGAACGAGCAGGCGGUCCACGCGUUCCACCGCGGCGCGCUCG